rnacentral:rRNA from 1 species
UACGAAGGGGGCUAGCGUUGUUCGGAAUUACUGGGCGUAAAGCGCACGUAGGCGGCUUGUAAGUUAGAGGUGAAAGCCCGGGGCUCAACUCCGGAAUUGCCUUUAAGACUGCAUCGCUAGAAUUGUGGAGAGGUAAGUGGAAUUCCGAGUGUAGAGGUGAAAUUCGUAGAUAUUCGGAAGAACACCAGUGGCGAAGGCGGCACGCUGGACCCUCCCUGACGCUGAGGCGCGAAAGCCAGGGGAGCGAACGGG